CAACUUUCAGCAACGGAUCUCUUGGCUCUCGCAUCGAUGAAGAACGCAGCGAAAUGCGAUAAGUAAUGUGAAUUGCAGAAUUCAGUGAAUCAUCGAAUCUUUGAACGCACCUUGCGCUCUUUGGUAUUCCGAAGAGCAUGCCUGUUUGAGUGUCAUGU
rnacentral:rRNA from 1 species